AGCGUAUAUUAAAGUUGUUGCAGUUAAAAAGCUCAUAGUUGAAUUUCGGGGUCAGUAGGUCGGUCGUGCCACUGGUAUGAACUGGUUUUACUGAUUCCUCCCUCUUGAAGAACUGUAAUGCCAUUAAUUUGGUGUUGCAGGGAAUCAGGACUGUUACUUUGAAAAAAUUAGAGUGUUUAAAGCAGGCUUUAGCUUGAAUACAUUANCAUGGAAUAAUGAAAUAGGACGUUUGAUCCUAUUUUGUUGGUUUCUAGGAUCGACGUAAUGAUUAAUAGGGAUAGUUGGGGGCAUUAGUAUUCAAUUGUCAGAGGUGAAAUUCUUGGAUUUAUUGAAGACUAACUACUGCGAAAGCAUUUGCCAAGGAUGUUUUCAUUAAUCAAGAACGAAAGUUAGGGGAUCGAANACGAUCAGAUACCGUCGUANUCUUAACCAUAAAC
rnacentral:rRNA from 1 species